AGUAGCGAAGGUCAUGAUCUCAGACUGCCAAGAAAAGCCUCUAGCCAGGAGAAGGUGCCCGUACCGCAAACCGACACAGGUAGGCGAGAAGAGAAUUCUAAGGCGCGCGGAAGAACUCUCGUUAAGGAACUCGGCAAAAUGACCCCGUAACUUCGGGAGAAGGGGUGCCUCGGUAGGGUGAAUAGCCCGAGGGGGCCGCAGUGAAAAGGCCCAAGCGACUGUUUAGCAAAAACACAGGUCUGUGCGAAGCCGCAAGGCGAAGUAUACGGGCUGACGCCUGCCCGGUGCUGGAAGGUUAAGGGGAGUGGUAAGCCUUCGGGCGAAGCUAUGAACCGAAGCCCCAGUAAACGGCGGCCGUAACUAUAACGGUCCUAAGGUAGCGAAAUUCCUUGUCAGGUAAAUUCUGACCCGCACGAAUGGCGUAACGACUUGGGCGCUGUCUCAACGAGAGAUCCGGUGAAAUUUUAAUACCUGUGAAGAUGCAGGUUACCCGCGACAAGACGGAAAGACCCCAUGGAGCUUUACUGCAGCUUGAUAUUGAAUUUGGGUACGAUCUGUACAGGAUAGGUGGGAGCCGU
rnacentral:rRNA from 2 species